CCAUGAAAUCGUCAGCAUCCCGAUGGUUAGGAGGUGGUUUUUGGCUGACCAUUGGUUCUUUGGGUAGGCCAAUGACCCCACCCCCCGAUCUCCGAUGGAUCGCCGAUCAUGUCUUUUCCCUCUCAGUUGUGAUCGAGACAAGAGAAGGAAGGAGGAAGAAAAGAGGAGCGGAUUUGGGUUUUGGAUUUCAACCCGAAAUCUAAUACCCGAUUGAUUCUUAAAAGGGGAGUUUUGUAAUUUAGCCCC
rnacentral:lncRNA from 1 species